GACGAACCGAGCGAACGUUGUUCGGAAUCACUGGGCUUAAAGGGCGCGUAGGCGGGCUGUCAAGUCUGGGGUGAAAUCCCGCGGCUCAACCGUGGAACUGCCUUAGAUACUGACGGCCUCGAGGGAGAUAGGGGCGAGCGGAACUGUGAGAGGAGCGGUGAAAUGCGUUGAUAUUCACAGGAACUCCGGUGGCGAAGGCGGCUCGCUGGAUCUCUUCUGACGCUGAGGCGCGAAAGCUAGGGUAGCAAACGGG
rnacentral:rRNA from 1 species